rnacentral:rRNA from 1 species
GUCCUGGGAAACUGGGGGUAAUACCGUAUACGCCCUUUUGGGGAAAGAUUUAUCGGCGAAGGAUCGGCCCGCGUUGGAUUAGGUAGUUGGUGGGGUAAUGGCCUACCAAGCCGACGAUCCAUAGCUGGUUUGAGAGGAUGAUCAGCCACACUGGGACUGAGACACGGCCCAGACUCCUACGGGAGGCAGCAGUGGGGAAUCUUAGACAAUGGGGGCAACCCUGAUCUAGCCAUGCCGCGUGAGUGAUGAAGGCCUUAGGGUUGUAAAGCUCUUUCAGCUGGGAAGAUAAUGACGGUACCAGCAGAAGAAGCCCCGGCUAACUCCGUGCCAGCAGCCGCGGUAAUACGGAGGGGGCUAGCGUUGUUCGGAAUUACUGGGCGUAAAGCGCACGUAGGCGGAUCAGAAAGUUGGGGGUGAAAUCCCGGGGCUCAACCUCGGAACUGCCUUCAAAACUAUUGGUCUUGAGUUCGAGAGAGGUGAGUGGAAUUCCGAGUGUAGAGGUGAAUUCGUCGAUCAUUCGGAGGACACCAGUGGCGAAGGCGGCUCACUGGCUCG